rnacentral:rRNA from 1 species
CUGCACCUACGGGAGGCAGCAGUGAGGAAUAUUGGUCAAUGGGCGGAAGCCUGAACCAGCCAAGUCGCGUGAGGGAAGAAGGCCCUGCGGGUCGCAGACCUCUUUGGACGGGGAGCAAGGCCGCCGACGUGUCGGCGGAAGGAGAGUACCCGUAGAACAAGCAUCGGCUAACUCCGUGCCAGCAGCCGCGGUAAUACGGAGGAUGCGAGCGUUAUCCGGAUUUAUUGGGUUUAAAGGGUGCGUAGGCGGCACGGCAAGCCGGCGGUCAAAUCGCGGGGCUCAACCUCGCGCCGCCGUUGGAACUG